rnacentral:rRNA from 1 species
AUUGAACGCUGGCGGCAGGCCUAACACAUGCAAGUCGAACGAGCGGCGGACGGGUGAGUAAUGUCUGGGAAACUGCCCGAUGGAGGGGGAUAACUACUGGAAACGGUAGCUAAUACCGCAUACCAUCGGAUGUGCCCAGAUGGGAUUAGCUCGUAGGUGGGGUAAUGGCUCACCUAGGCGACGAUCCCUAGCUGGUCUGAGAGGAUGACCAGCCACACUGGAACUGAGACACGGUCCAGACUCCUACGGGAGGCAGCAGUGGGGAAUAUUGGACAAUGGGGGCAAGCCUGAUGCAGCCAUGCCACGUGUAUGAAGAAGGCCUUCGGGUUGUAAAGUACUUUCAGCGAGGAGGCGUUACUCGCAGAAUAAGCACCGGCUAACUCCGUGCCAGCAGCCGCGGUAAUAC